CGUGCACUGGUGGGGUCCCUCAGCCUGGCCUGUGCCCUCUUGUAAUUCAGGACCCUUCGGAGGAUGUCGGAGAGCCAGUUUCGGCCUGAUCCCCACAGGCCAGGCUGAGGGACCCCACCAAUGCACA
rnacentral:pre_miRNA from 1 species